CACUGGAGUACCACUGGCUGUCUGUUUGGAAACCCCUCCGCCCCCGUGGUAUCAGCAUGUGUCUCUUCCUGCCUCUUGAAACGCAGUCUGGAGUCAGGUGGAACGCAUGAGGGUGUUCCCUAGGCGACGGACGGAAAUGGAGGUGGAUGUGCAUUGACGUAUGCGGAAGCGGGUCCGGAGGUGCGGACGAGGAGGAUAGCGGCGUCAGCGGCAUUUGGGUAUUUAGGAGGAAUCUCAUCUUCUCCAGAAGUCCGGAGCAAUUCUUUGGAGAGGUGCAGCGGUAGAAUAAGGACUACCUGUGCUACAGCCCAGAGGUGGCAUCUGUGGACUGGGAUUUUAUCUAACUAUCACAGAAGACAUUGAGCUACACACCAGCGCACCUGUACACCCGAUUCCUGAAAAUUGUAUUUAUAUAUAUAUAUAUAUAUAUAUGACAACGGCAGGUCAAAGAAUACAAACAAAUGUGCUUACCUAUAUAGUGCAUGCAGACGCCGUCACCACGCUUCCGGAACACAGGCACCCGCCAGGUCCGUUGGCGCACCCACAUGACGUCAUCAACCAAGGCUGAAUCUCAUCUUCUCCAGAAGUCCGGAGCAAUUCUUUGGAGAGGUGCAGCGGUAGAAUAAGGACUACCUGUGCUACAGCCCAGAGGUGGCAUCUGUGGACUGGGAUUUUAUCCAACUAUCACAGAAGACAUUGAGCUACACACCAGCGCACCUGUAUACCCGAUUCCUGAAAAUUAUAUAUAUAU